AUUGAACGCUGGCGGCAGGCCUUACACAUGCAAGUCGAACGGUAACGGGCCUUCGGGUGCCGACGAGUGGCGAACGGGUGAGUAAUAUAUCGGAACGUACCUUUCAGUGGGGGAUAACGUAGCGAAAGUUACGCUAAUACCGCAUAUUCUGUGCGCAGGAAAGCAGGGGACCAUCGGGCCUUGCGCUGAUUGAGCGGCCGAUAUCAGAUUAGCUAGUUGGUGAGGUAAAGGCUCACCAAGGCGACGAUCUGUAGCGGGUCUGAGAGGAUGAUCCGCCACACGGGAACUGAGACACGGACCAGACGCCUACGGGAGGCAGCAGUGGGGAAUUUUGGACAAUGGGGGCAACCCUGAUCCAGCCAGGCCGCGUGAGGGAAGAAGGCCUUCGGGUUGUAAAGCUCUUUCGGCCGGGAAGAAAUCGUAUGGGCUAAUACCCUGUGCGGAUGACGGUACCGGCAUAAGAAGCACCGGCUAACUACGUGCCAGCCGCCGCCGUAACAC
rnacentral:rRNA from 1 species